CUUCAACCUCGGGGAUGCAAACAACAGGGGGUUGCGGUAAAUAGCGGAACUGGUGGUCAGGGAUGGAAUACCGCAAAAGGGGUGGCGAAGAUAGCGCCCCUUCCCGAAAAGGCUGUCGCGU
rnacentral:sRNA from 12 species